UUACAUACUCACAUGAAACCUUUUCCUUUGAAGUGUUCCCCCAACUUUACACAACUUAUUUACAUCUCCACCUUACUCUAAAGUCUAAACACACCUUUUGUUUUUAAUUUUUGGUUUAGAAAAGAAAAAUACUUUUACAUGUAUGAUAUGGAAUUGUAUUUCUCUAUCAAUUGAUGCGCUCGUCAAAUUAAUAAGCACCCUUCAAUAAAAGAUAGAGUCACAUAUUUCUUGUUCCCAUAGCUAUUAAGUGAAGAUGGGUCCUACUUGAUCAAAUUGCUUAAGCCAUGAUGUCAUUCAUUU
rnacentral:lncRNA from 1 species